rnacentral:lncRNA from 1 species
UGCCGGAAAGGGUCCUUCGCCGGAGCUCCGUCUUCCGGCCACCAUAGGUCGUGAUUUUUGGCUCAACUUGUAGCCCUCAUCUAGGUGAGUAAUCCCUCAAAAGGUUUCGGCUAAAUUCGAUUUCGUUAGGGAGGUUUGUUUAAUUGAAAGUUUUAGGGAUUUAUGGUUGUUUGUGUUCGAUCGACAUGGUUAGGCUUAGAAUUGGAGUUUGUGGUAGUUAGGAAUGUUGUAGAGGAGGUUGAGAGGAAGAUGCUGCCAAUUUUUGGUGAGCAUAGGAGGUCGCCGGAAAAACGGCUGCCGGCCGCCGCCGGUUAGGAGAUUUUUAGGGUUUAAAUGUGGAAUAUUAAGAAGAGUAUAUUGGUGUGAUUUAUGGAAUUUUUGGAUGAGAUUUGGAUAGGUUUGUGAAUUUCCGAAGUUUGGUAUUUUUGGCGGUUAAUUAAUGUAGAAUCCGGCCGUAGGAUUUAAGUCGUAUUUUGGAGAGGUUGUAUUUACGACUGUUGAGUAUGAUAUUUAAGUUCGGAUCGUUCCGAUUUAAGAAUAUCGAAGUUAGGCAAUGAUGAGCGUAUUUAUGGCUCUCGGGAAUUUUGCCUAUUUUGAUUAAAUAUUGGAUUAUUGGUUGGGAAAUUAAUAUUUUAUUUGGAACAGGACGUGAGGAGGCUCGAGCAGACGAGACCCCAGAUCGACAGCAGGCUUAGGCCUAAUUUGUGAGUGGACUUUUGUUUUAAUAAAUGCAUGCUAAGUUCACGAUUGAAUAAUUAAUGUCGUGGAGUAUUUUGCCGUCAAUUAAUUUUGACGCUUUUAUUUCUCUGAGAGAGAGUUACCGAAAAAUGGGAUUUUUCGGUGAAUAUAAAUAUGUAUAUAUGAGAGAGUAUGUAUAAAAAUGCUAGCUAGCCAUAUGUGUCUGUCCACCUUAAUGGCGUAGCAUAUAGCCGCAUUAUGGUGUGACGUGAGCGUUGGACGUAAGCGUAGUAGCCCUAUUUGAGUGUUUAAUUCAUAUAGGGGGUAUGGACACAUAUUUAUACACCCGUCUGUCCACCUUGAUGGCGUAG